UAGCAUAUCAAUAAGCGGAGGAAAAGAAACCAACAGGGAUUGCCCUAGUAACGGCGAGUGAAGCGGCAACAGCUCAAAUUUGAAAUCUGGCUCUCUUUGGGGGUCCGAGUUGUAAUUUGCAGAGGAUGCUUUGGCAUUGGCGGCGGUCUAAGUUCCUUGGAACAGGACAUCGCAGAGGGUGAGAAUCCCGUACGUGGGCGCCUGCCUUUGCCGUGUAAAGCUCCUUCGACGAGUCGAGUUGUUUGGGAAUGCAGCUCUAAAUGGGAGGGUAAAUUUCUUCUAAAGCUAAAUACCGGCCAGAGACCGAUAGCGCACAAGUAGAGUGAUCGAAAGAUGAAAAGUACUUUGGAAAGAGAGUCAAAAAGCACGUGAAAUUGUUGAAAGGGAAGCGCUUGCAGCCAGACUUGCCCGCAGUUGCUCACCUAGGCUUUGGCCUGGGGCACUCUUCUGCGGGCAGGCCAGCAUCAGUUUGGGCGGUUGGAUAAAGGCCUCUGUCACGUAUCUUCCUUCGGGAUGACCUUAUAGGGGAGGCGUAAUGCAACCAGCCCGGACUGAGGUCCGCGCAUCUGCUAGGAUGCUGGCGUAAUGGCUGUAAGCGGCCCGUCUUGAAACACGGACCAAGGAGUCUAACAUCUAUGCGAGUGUUUGGGUGUCAAGCCCGGGCGCGCAAUGAAAGUGAACGGAGGUGGGAACCCUCUGGGUGCACCAUCGACCGAUCCUGAUGUCUUCGGAUGGAUUUGAGUAAGAGCAUAGCUGUUGGGACCCGAAAGAUGGUGAACUAUGCUUGAAUAGGGUGAAGCCAGAGGAAACUCUGGUGGAGGCUCGCAGCGGUUCUGACGUGCAAAUCGAUCGUCAAAUUUGGGCAUAGGGGCGAAAGACUAAUCGAACCAUCUAGUAGCUGGUUCCUGCCGA
rnacentral:rRNA from 1 species